ACGGGUGAUUAAUACAUCGGAACGUGCCCUGUAGUGGGGGAUAACUAGUCGAAAGAUUACCUAAUACCGCAUACGACCUGAGGGUGAAAGUGGGGGACCGCAAGGCCUCAUGCUAUAGGAGCGGCCGAUGUCUGAUUAGCUAUUUGGUGAGGUAAAGGCUCACCAACGCCACGAUCACUACCUGGUCUGAUAAGACGAUCAGCCACACUGGGACUGAGACACGGCCCCCACUCCUACGGGAGGCAGCAGUGGGGAAUUUUGGACAAUGGGCCAAAGCCUGAUCCCGCAAUGCCGCGUGUGUGAACAAGGCCUUCGGGUUGUAAAGCACUUUUGUCCGAAAAGAAAUGGCUCUGGUUAAUACCUGGGGUCCAUGACAGUACCAUAACAAUAACGACCGGCUAACUACGUGCCAACACCCUCGGUAAUACUUAUGGUCCUAGCGUUAAUCUAAACUACUGGGCGUAACGCCUGCGCAAGCGGUUGUGCCAGACCCAUUUCAAAUCCCCGAACUUAACUUGGGAAUUGCAUUGGUGACUGCACGGCUUCAGUGUGUCACAGGGGGGUACAAUUCCACGUGUA
rnacentral:rRNA from 1 species